UGGAGGCAGAAAUUGGGCAUAAGACAAUAUGAGGGGUGGUCUCCUCCCUUACUAGACAUAAGAGAAGCAAUUCUACAUACAGAGUAUAUAAAGAAGGUAAGAUGUGUUUUUUGGUGAAGUUUAUAAAAAAAAUGAGGAUGUGAUUUUUGCUAAAGGAAAAAGUAAUUUCAUUUGGUUAGAGGCUAUUUAAAGUUUGCUUCAGAACAAAGGACAAAAUGAUAUAGCUCAAACUAAAUGGAGAAAAAAAAGGAUGGGGAAUGAGGAAGCUUUGAUUCCUGCGUGGCCGCUGGCUCACCUACGGUAUGAAGCAGCAGCUGUGCUGCAUUCAGUUACUAAAGGUAAAAUUUACCAGUGGAAUUUAGAGAUGGAUGCAACUCUGGGGGAGUUGGUUCACUGGAUGCAUAAGGAAAUGCAAACUAAUAAGGAAAAAGCAAAAUAUUCAUUCCUUUGGUUAUUGUUAUCCAUCAUAGUGAUAUAGGACUUAAGAAGAAAUCACUUAGGCAGAUAAUGAGUGCUAGAGUCCUUGGUAAGGUUUUCCCUUUUAAUGACAAGCAGUCCCCAAAUCAUUUUCUAACAAGAGCAGCCUGUAAAGUCAGGCUGCAGAUAUAGAUGCUGGUAGUUUGUGCCAAUCGUGUUCAAAAUAGUGGCUCCAUCUUCCCUUCUCUCUUUGUCAGCCACACGUGCAGUAAGCAGCAGACAAGAUGGUGCCCGGACAAGUGGAAAGCUCAUUUGCAUAAUACAAUUAUGAAAGUAACUCUGAGACUUGUGGUUACCAAGAAGAUAGUCAAUGUGGGGAGAACGGCAAAGCUAAGUGACUAUUCAAAUCAGAAGGCUGGAGAUAUUUCUGAAGAAAAGUCAGAAAGCGAAGAGUGCAACGAAAAUUGCCUGGGGCAGUGUUGAGGAUUGACAGAAGGGUUCCUGAUCCUUUGGCUGAGAAGCCAAAUCCUUUUUCACCAGAGAAAGUAAAAUGGUCUGAGGGGUGGGAAACAAAGAAGCUCCUGAGACCAGAACAUAAAAAUGUAAGGUUGAUACGAUUUUGAAAGCUGGAAUGUUUAAAUAGGCUUUGUGUAAAGUGGUUGUGACUCCUUUUAACCUAAAAGUUUUAUGAAAAUGAAUAUUGUAUCCAGCUGGGGGAUGUUUCUCCUACCUACUACUAUAAAACAGAAGGCAUGUAAAUCCACCCAUCAAGCAAUAUUAAUUGGACUUUCUAAAUGAGAACCCAUAACAUUGCCCGAGCCUAGAACGUAGAGUAGAAACUGGAGUGCUGGUAGUGCCUGGGCUACAUUCAACAUCGCAAAGGACCCAGUUCUCCAGUUGAGAGCCCUUUGUGGAGCAUUUACUGUGGCUUGUGGCCAAAGCUUGUGAGCACCUGUCAACUAUGACUGCUGAAACUUCGGACUAAAGAAUUUCCACUUCAGGGCCAUUUAAUGACCAGUUAUGAGAUGUUAACUGAAGCCACCCAUAUGUAAAGAAUAUAAAAUGAUCUUGACACCUGAAAUACCCAUGCUGUCUGGGAUGAUGCCAGAGAAGCACCCUAAUGGGGAUAGCAGUGCCCAGAAGUGCCCAGAGUUCCGUAAUCCAAUUGGAAUGACUUAUCAUGCUACCUGAUGAAUGCAAGGAGGAGAUACUCAUAUACAGGGAGCCCUUAUUCCCAUAGAGUUGACUCUGGACCUGUGCAAGGAGUUGCUGGAUUCUGCAGUGCCUGAUAAACAGCUCUCACCUGACUGACAAUGAGCUGCUUGAUUUGAGGAUGGCAGUUUCAAGGUGAACAGACAACAUCCUGAUUGGAAGGCUGCUACUCUAAUUGUAAAAAGUAUACUUUUGUCAGCAGAAUUUACCUUUCUGUCUACCUCAGUUCUCCAAAAUUUGGAAACUUUUCAUGAGUAUUCUUAUUUUAUGGCAACAUGGUUAUUUGCAUAAGUUUGUAAGAAUCUGUUUUCUUUUGAAACAGGACACAGUUGGAGACGUUGGUUAUUUUACCAAGGCCUGAAGUGUCUGUUUCUAGCAUCUGACCAGAGGCUGUGUUUCCCAGUCUGUCAGAAUGGCCAUGCUGCAGGCUGCAGCCCUUUACGAGAAAUAAAGCUCUCCUUUCCAAA